rnacentral:rRNA from 1 species
CGGGGUGCAGCAGUGAGGAAUAUUGGACAAUGGGCGCAAGCCUGAUCCAGCCAUGCCGCGUGCAGGAUGACGGUCCUAUGGAUUGUAAACUGCUUUUGUACAGGAAGAAACACUGGUUCGUGAACCAGCUUGACGGUACUGUAAGAAUAAGGAUCGGCUAACUCCGUGCCAGCAGCCGCGGUAAUACGGAGGAUCCAAGCGUUAUCCGGAAUCAUUGGGUUUAAAGGGUCCGUAGGCGGUUUAAUAAGUCAGUGGUGAAAGCCCAUCGCUCAACGGUGGAACGGCCAUUGAUACUGUUAAACUUGAAUUAUUAGGAAGUAACUAGAAUAUGUAGUGUAGCGGUGAAAUGCUUAGAGAUUACAUGGAAUACCAAUUGCGAAGGCAGGUUACUACUAAUGGAUUGACGCUGAUGGACGAAAGCGUGGGUAGCGAACAGGAUUAGAUACCCCCGU